AGUAGGGAAUCUUCCACAAUGGGCGAAAGCCUGAUGGAGCAACGCCGCGUGAGUGAAGAAGGUUUUCGGAUCGUAAAGCUCUGUUGUUGGUGAAGAAGGAUAGAGGUAGUAACUGGCCCCUAUUUGACGGUAAUCAACCAGAAAGUCACGGCUAACUACGUGCCAGCAGCCGCGGUAAUACGUAGGUGGCAAGCGUUGUCCGGAUUUAUUGGGCGUAAAGCGAGCGCAGGCGGAAAGAUAAGUCUGAUGUGAAAGCCCCCGGCUUAACCGAGGAAUUGCAUCGGAAACUGUGUUUCUUGAGUGCAGAAGAGGAGAGUGGAACUCCAUGUGUAGCGGUGGAAUGCGUAGAUAUAUGGAAGAACACCAGUGGCGAAGGCGGCUCUCUGGUCUGUAACUGACGCUGAGGCUCGAAAGCAUGGGUAGCGAACAGGAUUAGAUACCCUGGUAGUCCAUGCCGUAAACGAUGAGUGCUAAGUGUUGGGAGGUUUCCGCC
rnacentral:rRNA from 1 species